rnacentral:rRNA from 1 species
UACGGGGGGGGCAAGCGUUGUUCGGAAUUACUGGGCGUAAAGGGCGCGUAGGCGGCUCGCUAAGUCGGAUGUGAAAACUCUGGGCUCAACCCAGAGCCUGCAUUCGAAACUGACGAGCUGGAGUUCUGGAGGGGAAAGCGGAAUUCCUGGUGUAGCGGUGAAAUGCGUAGAGAUCAGCAGGAAUACCCGUGGCGAAGGCGGCCCCCUGGGCCGAACCUGACGCUGAGGCGCGAAGGCUAGGGGAGCGAACGGG